UGGAAUCUCAUUGUUGUCUCAUU
rnacentral:siRNA from 1 species